AAGAAAGUAAGUGUUUCAGGUGUCAGAGUACAGUAUGCUGUAUGCUCUGAUGAAAAGGGAAACAGGUGCAAAUCCUGUACGAACUCGUCACUGUGAUAAGGGAGUUACCAGAAAAGAAGCCACUAAAGCAAUUUGGGAAGGCGUUCUGGGCGGCAAAGAUCUUUUAGUCAGGAGACCUGCCUGAGAUAUGGUACAUAA
rnacentral:ncRNA from 2 species